rnacentral:rRNA from 1 species
AACGAACGCUGGCGGCAGGCUUAACACAUGCAAGUCGAACGCUCGUAGCAAUACGGGAGUGGCGGACGGGUGAGUAACGCGUGGGAACGUGCCCUGAGGUACGGAAUAACUGAGGGAAACUUCAGCUAAUACCGUAUGAGCCCCGAGAGGGGAAGAUUAUCGCCUUGGGAGCGGCCCGCGUCGGAUUAGCUAGUUGGUGGGGUAACGGCCUACCAAGGCUUCGAUCCGUAGCUGGUCUGAGAGGACGAUCAGCCACACUGGGACUGAGACACGGCCCAGACUCCUACGGGAGGCAGCAGUGGGGAAUCUUGCGCAAUGGGGGGCAACCCUGACGCAGCCAUGCCGCGUGAACGAUGAAGGCCUUAGGGUUGUAAAGUUCUUUUACCCGUGACGAUGAUGACGGUAACGGGGGAAUAAGCUCCGGCUAAACUUCGUGCCAGCAGCCGCGGUAAU